UUGUAUGUAAAGUAAAUAAGAUUUUUAAAAUGUUUAAGAAGCUUCAUUUAAAAUUAAAUUAAAAUGCAGAGCCCCCCAGACUGGUGGCCAAGAUCCGGGCAGUGUGAGUGCCAUUGAAAAUCAGCUUACAUGCUGCCUUUGGCGUGAAUCCCAUAGGUUGCCUACCCCUGCUUUAUACCAAAAUG